AACGAGGAGGGAAGCAUUAUGAAUGGCAAGUCGAAACGAGGCGUUCUUCGCUUGAUGAUCGGUGCUUGCACCAAGAUUCAACAUGGGAACGGAGGUGAGCGGACGGGGUGAGUCACACGGUGGGUAACCUGCCCUUAAGGGGGGGAUAACAUUUGAAAACAGAUGCUAAUACCGCAUAGAAUCCAAGAACCGCAUGGUUUCUUGGCGUGAAAGAUGGCGUAAGCUAUCGCUUUUGGAUGGACCCGCGGCGUAUUAGCUAGUUGGUGAGGUAAUGGCUCACCAAGGCGAUGAUACGUAGCCGAACUGAGAGGUUGAUCGGCCACUUUGGGACUGAGACACGGCCCAAACUCCUACGGGAGGCAGCAGAAGGGAAUCUUCCACAAGUGGACGCAAGUCUGAUGGAGCAACGCCGCGUGAGUGAAGAAGGCUUUCGGGUCGUAAAACUCUGUUGUUGGAGAAAAAUGUUCGACAGAAUAACUGUUGGCGGCGUGACGGUAUCCAACCAAAAACCCACGGAUAACUACGUGCCAGCAGCCGCGGUAAUACGUAGGUGGCAAGCGUUAUCCGUAUUUAUUGGGUGUAAAGCGAGCGCGGGCGGCUUUUUAAGUCUGAUGUGAAAGCCCUCGGCUUAACCGAAGAAGCGCAUCGGAAACUGGGAAAACUUGAGUGCAAAAGAGGACAGGGAAACUCCAUGUGUAGCGGGGAAAUCGCGGAUAUAUAUGGAAAAACC
rnacentral:rRNA from 1 species